rnacentral:rRNA from 1 species
UGAAAAUGGCUCAGGAACGAAACGCUGGCGGCGUGCCUAAUACACGCAAGUAGAAACGCUGAAGAGAGGAGCUUGCUCUUCUUGGAAGAGUUUGCGAACGGGUGAGUAACGCGUAGGUAACCUGCCUUGUAGCGGGGGAUAACUAUUGGAAACGAUAGCUAAUACCGCAUAACAAUAGGUGACACAUGUCAUUUAUUUGAAAGGGGCAAUUCGCUCCACUACAAGAUGGACCUGCGUUGUAUUAGCUAGUAGGUGAGGUAACGGCUCACCUAGGCGACGAUACAUAGCCGACCUGAGAGGGUGAUCGGCCACACUGGGACUGAGACACGGCCCAGACUCCUACGGGAGGCAGCAGUAGGGAAUCUUCGGCAAUGGGGGCAACCCUGACCGAGCAACGCCGCGUGAGUGAAGAAGGUUUUCGGAUCGUAAAGCUCUGUUGUAAGUCAAGAACGAGUGUGAGAGUGGAAAGUUCACACUGUGACGGUAGCUUACCAGAAAGGGACGGCUAACUACGUGCCAGCAGCCGCGGUAAUACGUAGGUCCCGAGCGUUGUCCGGAUUUAUUGGGCGUAAAGCGAGCGCAGGCGGUUUGAUAAGUCUGAAGUUAAAGGCUGUGGCUCAACCAUAGUUCGCUUUGGAAACUGUCAAACUUGAGUGCAGAAGGGGAGAGUGGAAUUCCAUGUGUAGCGGUGAAAUGCGUAGAUAUAUGGAGGAACACCGGUGGCGAAAGCGGCUCUCUGGUCUGUAACUGACGCUGAGGCUCGAAAGCGUGGGGAGCGAACAGGAUUAGAUACCCUGGUAGUCCACGCCGUAAACGAUGAGUGCUAGGUGUUGGAUCCUUUCCGGGAUUCAGUGCCGCAGCUAACGCAUUAAGCACUCCGCCUGGGGAGUACGACCGCAAGGUUGAAACUCAAAGGAAUUGACGGGGGCCCGCACAAGCGGUGGAGCAUGUGGUUUAAUUCGAAGCAACGCGAAGAACCUUACCAGGUCUUGACAUCCCGAUGCUAUUUCUAGAGAUAGAAAGUUACUUCGGUACAUCGGUGACAGGUGGUGCAUGGUUGUCGUCAGCUCGUGUCGUGAGAUGUUGGGUUAAGUCCCGCAACGAGCGCAACCCCUAUUGUUAGUUGCCAUCAUUCAGUUGGGCACUCUAGCGAGACUGCCGGUAAUAAACCGGAGGAAGGUGGGGAUGACGUCAAAUCAUCAUGCCCCUUAUGACCUGGGCUACACACGUGCUACAAUGGUUGGUACAACGAGUUGCGAGUCGGUGACGGCAAGCUAAUCUCUUAAAGCCAAUCUCAGUUCGGAUUGUAGGCUGCAACUCGCCUACAUGAAGUCGGAAUCGCUAGUAAUCGCGGAUCAGCACGCCGCGGUGAAUACGUUCCCGGGCCUUGCACACACCGCCCGUC